rnacentral:rRNA from 1 species
CGGGACGGGUGGGUAAUGUCUGGAAAGGUAGCCUAGUGGAGGGGGAUAACUACUGGAAACGGUAGCUAAUACCGCAUAACGUCGCAAGACCAAAGAGGGGGACCUUCGGGCCUCUUGCCAUCGGAUGUGCCCAGAUGGGAUUAGCUAGUAGGUGGGGUAACGGCUCACCUAGGCGACGAUCCCUAGCUGGUCUGAGAGGAUGACCAGCCACACUGGAACUGAGACACGGUCCAG